AACGCACAUUGCGCUUCGUGGUAUUCCGCGGAGCAUGCUCGUUUCAGAAUCAUUAAAAAACUCACAGCCUGUGGAAUGUUGUCGGGUUUUUACUCCUUGUGGGUAUAACCUGCGGCAUUACCACCGGCCUGUAGGAUAUGGGCACUUUGGAUAUCAUAGCCAAUUGCCUUAAAGUUAGUGAGUGCGUGACUUUUUGUUAAUUUGCCGACCCUCAGUGCAACAGCUUUAGAUUCACUCCUGGGCACAAAUUGGGAGUCACCACCUGUAAAGAACACAGAGCUGUUGAGCAGCAAUGCUCUCCAGCUCUGACAACUUGGUCUGAAAUCGAGCAAGAAAACCCGCUGAACUUAA
rnacentral:misc_RNA from 1 species